AAGGUGGGAACCUGUCAAAGGAGAAGGUGAUUUCAAUCGAGUGAUUUCGGGCAAAGCAAGGGCACUUUGUGGAGAACUUCAGGCUGAGCCUACUCCUUGGCUCACUUUUUCCCAUUCUGCCUGCUUGGCUGUCAUUGCUUUAGCAUUUCCUGUGUGGCAAAUGCCCCAGGGCCCCCAGUGUCCAUCAGAUGUCCUCAGGAGUUCCCUUCAGGAAGUAGCAUUCCUAUGGGAGAGGCGUGAUGCUUUCCCCCCAUGACUCAUCACCUGCCAAGGCCCCGAAAGAAUUGCAACUAUGAAUCACUAGAGAUUUGGAAGUGGACUUAACCCUCUUCAGAAGUAACAUCCACCAAAGCAUGAAUGGGCAGCAACACAUUAACUACAAAAUGACUCUAUGAGUUCGGACGCUGCAAUUUACCUGCCUGAAAAUAUCACCAUUACUGGAAACUGCUGCUGACUCCACUCAUCAGAUCUAACUCCUUGGAUGAUGAUGAGUAGUGAACAGAAGGGACAACAAUCUUCAGCUGAGCCCAAGUGGUCACUCUUGCUAGUCUUCAAAUCUCAACCAGUUGCUGGUGAAAUGGCCUAAUUUACCUUCCCUAACCCCUUUCUCUGCCCUGUGUAAGGCUAAGGUUCUGGAAUGUUUUACCAUGGAAGCCAUCUACAGCAUCAGAGCCCAGAUGCUCUUGGGAUUGCUCAUGGCUGGAUCUGUCCUCAGGUGGGCAGCAGAGGCCCAUUUACCAUGAAGCUAUUGAAGCUUAAGUUUCAGGGCCCGGGACCUAAUGAGUCCUUUCAAAGUCCCUAAGAAAGCCUUCAGCAAUGUGUU
rnacentral:lncRNA from 1 species